rnacentral:rRNA from 1 species
GAUGAACGCUGGCGGCGUGCUUAACACAUGCAAGUCGAACGGUGAAAGAGAGCUUGCUCUCUGGAUCAGUGGCGAACGGGUGAGUAACACGUGAGCAAUCUGCCCCUGACUCUGGGAUAAGCGCUGGAAACGGCGUCUAAUACCGGAUACGAGCUGCGAAGGCAUCUUCAGCAGCUGGAAAGAACUUCGGUCAGGGAUGAGCUCGCGGCCUAUCAGCUAGUUGGUGAGGUAAUGGCUCACCAAGGCGUCGACGGGUAGCCGGCCUGAGAGGGUGACCGGCCACACUGGGACUGAGACACGGCCCAGACUCCUACGGGAGGCAGCAGUGGGGAAUAUUGCACAAUGGGCGCAAGCCUGAUGCAGCAACGCCGCGUGAGGGACGACGGCCUUCGGGUUGUAAACCUCUUUUAGCAGGGAAGAAGCGAAAGUGACGGUACCUGCAG